UUGCAGGAAGUUGGAAGGAUGGCUGAUAAGAAGCCCCAGACUCUCUCUUCCACAGAGACACCAGUUUAGCAACAAUACCACCAUUCCCUUUGUGAGAAGUCCAGAAAUCCAGACAUGAAACUACUAAGAAACGACAAUAGUUGUUUGGUAUCGAUAAAUUGAAGCUCCGCGGUGCUUGUUUGCAGAGACGCUUGUGGAUUCCACUGACCUGAUGUCUGGAUUUUCAUGGAGAAUCAAGAUUUGUCUUGCUAAUGAGGCUGCCUUGGUUGACACUGGCGUAUGCAGUGCAUGAAGGACAAUGACUUUUCAACACAGAAGCCCACAAAAGCAUAUUCCAUCGGUAUGUAAAUUACUUCCCAGAAGAGCUGUUACUUUCAGAGUGAGUCAUAAGGCACAAGCCCUCUGCCCCUGGUGCAUCACGUACAGCUGUGGGGUGUGCGUACUUGCACACAGAAGGGCUGGGAAUGACAUCCUGCAGUCCUCGGUGUCCUCAGAGCCCUGCUCAGGGCCCCAGUUACUUCAAAUGAGAGAGAUCUAAGACAGAGGGUGUUCUCAUCACCUUCUACUUUUAUCCUACCAAAGUCCCUGGAGGAAAAUCAGGAAAACCCCACUCAACACAGAGAAAAGGAAUCCCAUAAAAUGGAACACCAGGAAAGAGGGGCAGGAAUUGAAAUUAAAGAGGAUGCUAUUGCCACACACAGUACCAAUAUGAUUUUUUUUACUUAUAUAUGGAGGAUUGUUAUACAUACUAAGAAAAAAUUUGAGAUG